AUGGCGGCGCAAGGCACCUCCUCGGUCUCUUCACCAAACGUGUCUCCCACUUCAGUGUCGCCGCCGACUCUGCCCCCGCCCUCUACUGGGAUUUCGAAGUCUCUCCUGGAGGCGAAGGCGAGCUCUUUGAGCCCACAGUCUCUCUCGGCCGGCCACGAGGACUUGUUGCCCCUCGCAGUAUUUUAUGGGCCGCUGGACGCAAAAAACCCACUCCUGGCCUCCUGUGAGAAGGAGAUUCAGGAGUUGCUAGACUUCAUGAAGAGAAAGAAGACUUUAGCUACAACGGAGGAACAGAAAUAUGAGUUCCACCGGCUUUGUGCCACCUCUUUGUUUAAUAUCUGGACCAAAUACGCCCCCCGGCUGCCAGCUGCCUAUUACAACGAGAAGCUUCUGAAGGUUGGAGAUAGACUUUGUGAAAUGAAAGAAUAUAAAUUGGCCCUUUUACAAUGCUAUGGCAGAUAUCUUCAGCAGUUCAGCAUCAACUUUGAUGAGAAUAAAGCAGACGUGAAUCAAUUCAAAACUGUCUUUUUCCCAAAAGGCUUUGGAGACAAAACUGCACCACAUACAUUUCAUGCUUUAAAUGGCAAAAAUAUUUGCAACUACCAGCUGGUCUGUGACAGUGAUGUGAACCUGCAGAAUAAAGAGUCUGUGAUCCACUGUCUGCAAAUCUUGUCCUCCUUCAGGCUCAUCAUGCAGGUGGCUUUGCCACAGGAGCACCUGUGCUGGAUUAUCUUCAAUGGUACCAUUUACAUUUAUACUAUUUGCAGAAAAUUGAUGAUCAGAGGUCAUUCUUCCAAGGCCUUGGAAUACCUCCUGUGGGCCAGUAUAUGUAUGGAGUCCUCAGUGCCUCUCCUGUCCAUCAGGUACUUGACGUGGAGAGCUACUCUUUACACAGCUGUCUGCCAGUGCUACUAUGACUGCCAAGCUGGUGUCCCUGGAGAGGCAUUUGCUCGACGUGCCUUAGCUAAAAUUGAUGAGUUACGGCAACUGGAAUUAAUGAGUUCCUCACAACCACAGGAAGAAUCCAGAGAAUAUUAUAGAGAGGCCACAAUAAAGAUGGCAGUCAUGAUCUUCAAAAGAGGAGUAUUUGAAUCUAGAAGAAAAAACAAAAGUUUCUUUAGACCAAAGAUAAGAGUUAACAUAAAGGAAGCACAAACUAUGCCAUGGCCACGUACGGUCACAGAAAAGCUGCUGGAAGAGUUGUUUGACAGCACUGCCUCCCGGUUUCUGGCUGUCUUGGAAUCUCUCUCUGACUCAAAUCGGCGAGUACUACAGACUGGACCUGUUUUUACAGAUGAAGUAGAAGUUCGUGAUGUUGUCUCAGAACUAUUUAUGGCAGGAAAAGAACUUUUAAUAAUGUCAAAUAUUGGUGCAGAUGGGAUACUUGAUUUUCCAAAAGCACAUCUUCUAGAACUUAUUAUAAAAAGGAAGAAUCUUAUUUCUGUGAAUGCUGCUGUGAAAUUUAUAAAAUUAGCUUUUAUGUAUGAGGAAUGGAGUUUAUUUGAAUCUGCAGCUGGGCAGCUCCUUGAUUUUCUCCAGAGGCAGGAUGACCCAGAGUCAAAGAAAGUGGAAAAGGAUUUAAUUCUUCUUGUUGCGAUAGAACCUUUGAUCAAUGUAAAGAGAAACAAAGGUUUGAUUUUUCCUUUUGACAACUACAAAGAAGGUCAAGUCUAUGUAAAAAAAAUUGCUGCUCACGAUACUUGUGCGAAGUCUUGUGGAUACUCAGAAGACGUUUUCCAUUUGGCGACAACCUUGUAUUCCUGUGUCUGUGACUCUCCGCAGAAUGCUCAGCCGGAUAAGGAAAUCGUUGUGGACAUGAUAAUGUUCCUGUGGCAGAAAUGCAAAUUAGGAAUGCAGCGGGUCACUGUGUCCAAGAAUGACUACGCAAAGUUUACCCAGAAGAUCAGUACUAAUAAAUGGAUUUAUCUUCUGUGGCAGAUAAAUGAAAUCAUUCACUGCUGUAAGAUGGAAGACAUUGACGUUGUGAUGGUGGCAGAGAUCACGUUACGAUUAAGUGAAAUAUUGGAGUCUUUAGGAAACCCAAGAAGAAAAUUUAAAAAAUUUCUAGAUGUAUCUUUAAGGAAAGGGACUAGUGAAACCUUUGGGGCUCCAAAAGGGAGCAUAGAUAUUCUUCCAAUAAUAAAGAAAAAACCUGAAGAACAGUUAUUUUUGGCCUAUGAACUUCUUGACAGAGCCAUUGGUGGCAUAAAUUUGAACUGCAUGUUAACUGCUUUGCCAAAUGGAUCAUCAGUGAUUGACCAUUGCUAUGCCACGCACAACCACUAUGUAGAUGGAGACAUGUGCAAACCAGUCACACCGAAUAAUUUCAUAAUGGAUUUGCAUCUUGAACUAAUUCAAGCCCAGCACCGAAUAGCUGUUGUGCUUCUUGACCAGUUGCAAGUUUUGCAGACUCCAACUGUGAGCAAAAAUACAUCUACCAAAGGUACAGAGAAGCUAAAAAAACCUGCAAGCCCUGAUUGUUUUACAGAAUUAAGUGUGAUGAAUAAAAUAAGGAAGAAUAAGCUAUCUAAAGCAAUUUAUUUGAUGCAGAAAACUCUUCUAAUAUUUGAGAAAGAUGCAACCUGUUCUUCUCUACAGAACUACUUGACGGAAGCAUAUUCUUUGAUUGAGAAGACCGAAGCAGAACAAAGUAUACAAUAUUCACAUCAGAAAUGUGUGGAAACUGCCAAAGGAAAGAAGAGCAGAGUCCCUCCUCCACCCAUUCUGCUCUCCCGAACUUACCGUUCUGUGACAUUAAAACCUGCCCCAUUUGUUUCUGAUGUUAAGGUCUGCUGGUAUUGCAUUUUGGGUCGCAAAGCGGAAGGAAGCUAUGGAAAAGUAAGACUAAACAAUAAUCAUCUCCCAAACUCAGGAGAAGCGAUACCAGCGGAUGGCAAAAGUGUUUUUGAGGUAAAAGGUUUAGAAACCAAUGAAAAAUACGUCUUUGCAGUUGCAGCUUACUGUUCUAGUGGAAAGCUGAUUGGUGAUGCUAUUGGCGAGACAACUAAACCAAUUCUGGUUUACCCACCUCUUUCUGCUGUUACUACUCGGAUGUUAUUGACGCAGGUUGCCUAUCAGACUGGUAACUAUGAUCUGGCUAAGAAAGUUUUCUCACCAGUCUGGGAUUAUUUUGUUGCUUCACCACCUCAGGGUGACCAAUCCAUUAUUUGUUUAAGUAAUAUAAUGACUAUUACACAGAGAAGAUUACAUUCAGAUAUUUUGACAGAGAGUUCUUCCAUUCUCUUAUAUCUUUUUCUUAGAAAUAUUUUUGUAACAAGUGACAUUAAAAUUAAAGAAGAAAAUUUUUUCUGUGAUAAUAUUAAAGGCAAUGAGAUUUUCCCUUCUCAACAAAUUGCUAGACUGAUUGAAUGUGAGAGAGUAUUGGUGGCAUUGGAACUGAGCAACUAUCUAAAUGAUUCCAGUUACGCCCUUCAGGCUGUGACUCAGUGUUACGGCCUCCUUGCUCCUAUCAUUUAUCACAAUAUUGUUUUGGUACCUGUUGUACAGAUCUUGAUAAAGUGUGUGGUGGUUUUGCAAGGACUACCAAAUGUCAUCCACUUAAAGAAACAUCUUGCAAGCUUUGAAAGUGUACAGCAUAUGAUAGCUUGCUGUAUCUUCUACAUAACAAAGAUCCUGCGUUCAUGGAAGGAAUAUGACCUGGCAGUAAUGAUUAUAAAUUAUGGAAAAAAGGUGUUGGACAUCUCAUCAGGUUGCAAAUCUCUAUUUGGUACUACAGACGUAGAGGAAAUGCAAGAAGAGGGUUCUUCCAAGAAGUCUUGCAAGAAUAAGAAGCCACAGCAGGUAUUAGUACCUGAAAAAAUAAAUGAACAGCUGGUUUUAUUGGAGACACAUCUACUCAGACUGACAAAGCAAUAUAUUACAACUGAACUCUCGGGAGCAGAAGAUCCCAUAUUUCUUUACCCUAUAGUUUUAAACUGGUCGGUCAAAGGUGCUGUGAAAGAAGUUAUGAAAUUUAAGCAGAGACCUAGAUUCCUCGAAUUCUUUACACAAGUUAUGCAAAAAUGUAUGCAUGAUGAAAAAUUUCAACCUAUGUUGGAGAUAACAAAUCCUGUCUAUGACUUCUUGAAAAGGAGGAAUGAGUCCCUUCUUGGAAUAAAAAAACUGAAAUACAAGGAUACUUUUUCUAAAAAGGUCAUCAAACCUGUGAAGAAGUACAGAGCCGCAGUAGUGGAGAUUGGAAAAACUACAGAAAUGAAGCCAAAAAAAAAAGCUAAAAAAAAGGAAACUCUAAGAGAAUUUUUACAUAAAAAUCCCUUUAUUUCUGAAAUGCCGGAGCAUGAAAGAAAUAAGAGAGCUGAUGUUCGAAAAGUAGCACAUCGAUUCCUGGUGGAAAACUUGAAUCCUUUAAUAUUAAGUUAUGUUAAAAAGAAGAGGUUCCAUCAAAUAUUUCUUGAGGAGAUGCCCUGGAAAGCUCAGAUGAACCUGUAUCUGGCAAGCGCACACUUCAACCUGCUUUUAACAAAGCUAGGGGAACGUACAAAGAUAAAAUUUGGUUCUUCACCAAUAAUGGUCAGUUUCCGAUCAUGUGACCCUAAUAUGUUCUCACUGUAUAAUUCAGGAACAGUAUUACCAACAGGAAAAAUGACUCUAGAAAACUAUAAAGUGUUGCUUGAUUUCCUUCUUACAGCUAAAAAAAGAAAGGCUCACUUACCAUCAGAUGCUGAAGAAUUUUUGGCAUUUCUUAAUUCCAAAAUGAGUGGUGAAAAUGUUUCCAAGACCCAAACAGUUUAUGAAUCAGACUCUCAGUCGGGACUUAGCAGUAAAGAAAAGGAUCGAUCUGCAAAUGUGGCUCUCUUGGAUCAUUUUAUGAAAAUCUUUUUAUAUUGCAGGAGAGCAAUGGUUCUUGCUCAUCGUGGUGGCUAUUGGACUCUGCUUCAGAACUGCUGUCGGGCCCUUUGGAACUUUACUCAGGAGUUACAAAUACUGCAUAAACAAACAGUGGAUCUGUAUAAGACAUUUCCGAUUAGCCAGGAUAAUUUCCUCUGUAUCUCUGUUUUACCAUUCUAUUUGGGAGCAGAAUUACUUAUUGACAUGUUAAUAGAACUACAGAAUACUGAUUCUAUUAAGACUAUUGAUGAAAAAGGAGAGUUCAGUGUCCCGAGUUGCUACGGAAAUAUUAAAAAUGAUAAAGGUGGUUCCAGCCUUACCUUUGAGCAUCCUCUGGAUGACGUCAAUGUGGUCGAUUUGAAAUGGAUCCAUGACUUUGUAUUAAAAUCUCUGGAACUUGUCUAUCAAGUAGAAAAAUGGGAAACACUCGUAUCACUUGCCAUUCAGUUCAAUGCAGUUUCGCAUGAAAGAUAUACAGAGCAAGUGACUCCACUCCUGGUUUACGCGCAGCGCCAGCUUCUACUGCAAAUAUCCAAAUGCAAGGGCCCAGACAUCAGCCAGCAGGCUUGUGUAAGAUAUGAGACUGAAUACAAACAGAAGAUAACCUGCCGAAAUUUCGUUGGAAUACAGCUCAAGAUUAAUCCUCCAACCAAUAAAGGGACAGCUAUAGGACAGCGAGCAGAUGUCCUUAAAAAGCUUAUCCAUUCAGAAUACAGCAGAGCCAAAGAGCUCCUCUGUGUGCCUGUGGACGUGACAGACACUCUGAGAUGUUUUAGAGAGACCUUGGAAAAAUCCAAAUAUCACAACAGAUCAAUCCGGCACAGCAGAAAGUUGCUUUCGUUAUUUCUCGCACAGACACAAGGAGACAAAGGAGGAGUGAACAAUUUAAAAUUGGCUGCUGGGAAAGUGGAAUUUUCCCUGGGGACAGAAGAGAUGCACAUGCCAACACCCCCCGACCUUUCUCAGGAGCACUUCCGAGUUUUCAGCUCAGUGGAGAAGAGCAAGCUUCCCUCCUCACAACUUGGACUCGUAAUUUCUUCUUAUUAUGAAACUAUUAAUGUUCUGAAAACCAGCAAUCAAAGAAGUCUUAAUGUUCAGGCAUUGCAUGAACUUGGAAAUCUUCUCAUCUUCGCACAGAAGAAAAGGGCUGCUUUUAAGUGUUGGAGUCAAGCUCUGGAUGAAAUUUUCAGAAAAGAAGAUGUGCUCCAUACAUGGAAGGAGCUUGGCAGCUCACUCACCAAUGCCACUGAUGGCCGGUCACCUCCAGGUUCCAAAGACUACAGUGAGGAGCUCCUGUCCAAAGUCGGCAUCUGGGGGUGUUUGCAGGGAGCGGUGAUAUCAGCAAAGAUAGCACAAUUUAUUCAGACAUUGGAUGUUGAAAAGAGAACCAAUUGUUGCCUUUUAUCAGCAUUUCUGUUUCAGGGUUUGCUUAGAACCACACUACCACAUCCUAAAGCUGAACGUUGCUAUGCUCAGUAUGAAAUCACUCAGCUUCUCCCAGGCAUUGAGCUCUUCUCAGACAGAUACCGGGCUGACAUCUGCUCUGUCAUUGCGAGUUUGUAUUAUGUCAUCCGUGAGCUGCACUUUGCUAAGCAAAAUCUAGUAAUUCUGCCUCUCCUUGCAUUGUACCAAUAUUUUGUUUCUGUAAUUUGCCAAGACUUUGUCAGAAAUCUGGAAGCAAGAAUCCUCAAGAUAGAAGUCCUUACAGAUUUAGGAUUCUUUUCUGAAGCCUUUCAUGAGCUAUCCCAGAUAUUUUAUGCAAAAAAUAUGCCUUCUUCAGUACCCACCAGCUAUAAACCUACUGGAAAAAUGAAGCAAUUUCAAUCUUUUGACUCGGGAAAACCUCUUAUUAGUAAAGAAAAUAUGCAGGCACUUGAUGAUUUAAUAAAUAAAGGCAUGCCUGUAAUUCUGGUUACAGUUAGCCAGCAACAUCUCUUAAAUAAGUUUUUAUUUGUUAAAGCAUACUUUUUCAUAAAUGUGGCUGCAACAAUAAAUUGUGUCCCAGAGCAGAUAAUGAAACCAGUUGGCCACGGAGUUAUGAAUGAGAAAAGCAAACCAAAUCUUCUAAACUUGAAAGAGAUGUGUUUAAAGGAUGAGGGAGGCUCACUUUGUCAUCUGACAAAAUCGAAAGAAAACUUUGUUCUUAGCACACUAAAGUCAAUUUUACUGACAGAAGCUGAAGACAGGCUCAACACCCUUCUGUCAGAGAUGGAACAUCCAAGCCAUAAGGACCUCUCUCAGUGUUGUGCUGGCGAACUGGAGAUUGUGGUGGAGGUCAGACUGCAGCUGGCUGCCAUUGCCCUGCAGAGACACCGGGCAGCAUACAGUGCUGCGAUAGUAUUUUCCACACUUAAACUUCUCCAGGAUUCAAAACUUUUUAAAAAGAAGGUAGUAGAAGAUGACUCAGAGAAUUGCACCUCUCCAGAAAGUUAUGUGACUGAAAGUAAAGACGACAAUUUUUUAGAUCCUAUUUCCCUAAAUUCUCGAGAAUAUUUCAACAUUCAUCUGUGGUUGAGGUGCCGCUUAGCCUUGGUGACUGCAUUUGUUGCCCAGAUUCGUGGCAUUGGAAUUGUGAAAGAAAACGAUAUAACGGAUUACGUGAGCCUUAUCAAUGAAGUGUGUGUGGAGGCAAAAGCUGCAGGUGACAGAGAGCUACAGGCUGAAUUCUUGAUGCAAGCUGUAAUUAUCGGCCUACAAGAAAAGCAUUUAAAGGCAGACAUCAUAAAAAGCCUUCAGGAGGUAAUACAGUUGCUUGAAGGACGUGACUUUAUUUCUCCUCGAUCUCAUUUAACCCUGGUGAGAAGUAUGCUUUUGCUGGAUGAUUUAACAAAAGCUGAGAAAUUCAAGGAAACUCCUUUUUCAAAAACAGAAAAAUUGUAUUUGUUGACUCAGUCUCACAACAUUCUUAUAGAACAGAUGAUAACUUUUGGAGAAACAAUUGAAUUGCCUUCAUCAAACACUGACUAUGCAAGUCCAUUACUGCCUUUGAAAAAUAUUUAUCUUCCUCACGUCAUGUUAUUGGCCAAAACAAAAAUGAGAAUUGGACAUACAGUGGCCAAGCAAGUAUAUUAUACCAGUAAAAAGAAGGAUCCUUCAAAGUGGUUACCUGCCCUUCAUUUUUUUGAAAUAGCUUUGAAGCUCGCUAGGACAUCAGGAACAGAAGAACAUGAGGUGGAAGCUGAAAUCUUUUUUCAGAAAGGCAAAAUAGAAUGUCAAAUAUUGAUGGAAGAGAAACCUCCAACUAUGCAACUUGAGAGUCUGUUUGAAGCUAUACAGCUAAGCUUGAGACAUGAUCAAAAUUCAGGGUUGAUAAGAGACUCCUACCUUGAAAUAGCCUUAUUACUUUUACACAUAAGGAAGUCAAAGAGCAAACUUCCAGUGUCACCAUUGACAACUAUUAAGGCUCUUCCCAGAAGGCAUAGUUCUACUAAAGAACCAAUAGUAAAUAAACAUGAAAUGUACAGUUUAUUUGCCUGGAUUGCAAUAAGAGCUGCUGCACAGGUCAGUGAGGCUGUGCUGGCAAUUAAUCUACUUAUUGGAAAGAAGAAUGCUAGAACUGAUAAAGUUAGCCAAGGAGCAUUAUCAAAUAUCCCAGAAUUUGCUUCCAUGGAUCUUUUUUCUUCAUACACAGAUUAUUUGCUUGAUAACUACCAAGUUGUCUUCCAGACUGGCUGUACAUUUUCUUACCUUAGUGAAGAGAUACAUGAGGAUGUAGAUUCUCAGAAAAGAAACCCAAUUAAAGUGGAUAUUACAUGGAUUCUUCUGCUGCGCUACUAUAUUCACCUACAAAGAAUUAAUAAUAUGAGCAAAUUGCUAGCAUCUCUGAAGCCAGGAUCUGGGAUGUCUUUGCCAGAUGACACUCUUCUCACUUCUCUUUUUAACUCUGGAUUGAUUUUGCGCCAAAAAGAAAUGCAUUUUUUCCUUAAAAGAUUCUUGCAGCUAUAUUCUUCAUCUUGUAUUGAUGAAUUUCCAAAAGAACUAUUUCAAGUCAUGGAAAGUCCACCUGUUCUAGAAAAAGUCUUAUAUGAUUCAGCAAGCAAGACAGGAGUAACUGAUGCUUCUCUACACUCCGAUUUAUCAUUAAAGAGCGUUACCAGCCCAUUGUAUGGAGACUCUGUGCCAUCAGUUGUGGUAACACAAGCUGUAAACAAAGAACUUUGUUUUCAGUGGUACAUUCCUCCCCUGGAAAAACCUCCAAAGGAAACAGAACCUAUGGUUUUAUUGUUGUAUGCAUAUAAUAUGAAGCCCCUGAAUAUUUCUGAUGUUGCGUCUACUGCUUGCAACAGUGUGUACGUAGGCUCUUUCUGGGUUCCACUAAAAAGAGUUAUUUCAGUUCAUGAGAAACUAUCUAAUCUUACGCAAAUUGCUGAAAUAUCAUUGCCAACAACUCCUAAAGUUACUUCAAAUGAAAAUUUACGUGAAGUAGAGGAAACAGAGGAGAAAUCCAUUGAUACAGAAAUGGAAAACAUGAUUAUUGUCUGUUGCAAUGAAAUAGUAUCUUUGUUUUUGGGUGAUGAGAUGGCAACUCCACUAUCUGAGGUCCCAUUUGAUGUCUCGCUGCCAUCUAUAUUCAGUCUGGAGAGACUUUUUGAUCUUGCUAGUGGCUGUAUCAUAUCAGGAGGAAGCCUUUUCAACUGGAUGGUGUCAAUUAUUCCCUGA
rnacentral:lncRNA from 1 species